rnacentral:rRNA from 1 species
GAGUUUGAUCCUGGCUCAGAUUGAACGCUGGCGGCAUGCCUUACACAUGCAAGUCGAACGGUAACAGGUCUUCGGAUGCUGACGAGUGGCGAACGGGUGAGUAAUACAUCGGAACGUGCCCGAUCGUGGGGGAUAACGGAGCGAAAGCUUUGCUAAUACCGCAUACGAUCUACGGAUGAAAGCAGGGACCGCAAGGCCUUGCGCGAACGGAGCGGCCGAUGGCAGAUUAGGUAGUUGGUGGGAUAAAAGCUUACCAAGCCGACGAUCUGUAGCUGGUCUGAGAGGACGACCAGCCACACUGGGACUGAGACACGGCCCAGACUCCUACGGGAGGCAGCAGUGGGGAAUUUUGGACAAUGGGCGAAAGCCUGAUCCAGCCAUGCCGCGUGCAGGAUG